CCCCUUUUUCUCUUUUUCCUCUCUCCUUUCCCCUCCCCUUUUCCCCCUUUUCCCCAUUCCCUUUUCCUCCUUAUUCCCUUUCCCUUUUCUCCCUUUUUUCCAUUUUCUCCCUUUUUUCCCUUCCUCCUUUUUUCCUUUUAUUCUUCCUUUUGUUUUCCUUUUUCCUUCCUUUCCCCCUUUUCCCCUCUUUUAUCCCCCCUUUCCCCUUUUUCCCCUUUUUCCCCUUUCCCCCUUUUCCCCUUUCCCCAUUUCCCUCCUUUCCUCCCCUUUUUCUCCUUUUCCCCUCCUUUCCCCUCUCCUUUUUUCCCCUUCCCUUUUCCUCUUUAUUCCCUUUCCCCUUUUCCCCUUUCCCCCCUUGCAUUCCCCCCCCGCAAUUCCCGAUCCCGGCCGGAUUUCCCUCCCCCCCCAACCCCGGGAAUUUCGGGAAUUCCGGGAAUUCCGGGAAUUGUGGGAUGGCUGUGUGCGCGGCAGGCGUACCUGGAGAUGAACUACAAGGAGGCCGUGAUCGCCGCCGUCAAGUUCGGGGAGACGGCGCCGCUGCUGCUCAACGGGAAACGCGUGCGGGUCAGCGUGGCCGAGAGAGAGCAGGCGUAAAAACCGGUGAAGAAACGAGUCCUGAACCCCAAAAAAACUCCAGCAAGCACCAAGAAAGUCCCGAGCACCAACAGCAAGAGCCCCAAAGUCCUGACAGGUGAGGUUGAUCCUCAUUAGCUAAUUAAUAAUUAAUUAGUAAUUAAUUCUUAAUUGGCGAGCUUAAUUAAUGAAUUAAUUGCCGUAA
rnacentral:lncRNA from 1 species